AACAGCGCAAAUAUCAACCCGAUAUAUAAACCUGAUCUCACCUGAUCUCAGAAGCUAAGCAGGGUUUGGCCUGGUUAGAACUUAGAAGAAGACCACUGAGAAUACAAGGCGCCACAGUGA
rnacentral:rRNA from 1 species